UACGUAGGUGGCAAGCGUUAUCCGGAAUUAUUGGGCGUAAAGCGCGCGCAGGCGGUUUUGUAAGCCAGAUGUGAAAUCCCCGGGCUUAACUUGGGAACUGCAUUUGGGACUGCAAGGCUGGAGUACGGCAGAGGGAGGUGGAAUUCCACGUGUAGCAGUGAAAUGCGUAGAGAUGUGGAGGAACACCGAUGGCGAAGGCAGCCUCCUGGGCUAGUACUGACGCUCAUGCACGAAAGCGUGGGGAGCAAACAGG
rnacentral:rRNA from 1 species